rnacentral:lncRNA from 1 species
CUUGGCCUGUGCUUGGAUGACAGACAUGCUCUUUGCAGCUUCUCCUGAACCGUGGAAACAAACAAGCUUGGCCAGAAUGGAGUAAAGGAAACCAAAGAUUAAAGAGAAUUUUAAGAGAGAGAUGAAUUAGAGAGUUGGAGAGGCCAAUUUUGUCUUUCUCAUUGUCUUGUAUUUCAAAGCAUCAUCUCAUUUGCUUUCUCCUUUUGGCAGUGGCACCGAGGUGGCUGGUCAAGCAGCUCAGACCUCUACAAGGGCCUCUGGAGGCAGAAGGGCAGUGAGGACUGGUACCAGUGGAGGGGCCUGAGAAGGUGCUCAGGGUUUGUAUUUUCUGCAGCCCACGAUUCUCCUGGAGAGCUGAAAGUGAAAAACAGGGACACCCACAGAGCCCAUAGGUGCCCAGCAAGAUCAACAAAAGAUGCCUUCAGGGAACUGGUGGUCCUGCUCUCAAGUCUAAUGAGACUCGAGCUGCCUCUCAGGGAAAGCGAGCGAUGAGAUGUGGCUCCAACACGAUUCUCUUCCCCUCACCUCACGCUGACCAACAGUAGGGGUGAUGCCCUGAAAGUAAAUUGUGAGUUUAAACCAUUAAGACCCUAUCACCUGGGUCUUGGUGAGACUUUUA